rnacentral:rRNA from 1 species
AGUGAACGCUGGCGGUAGGCCUAACACAUGCAAGUCGAACGGCAGCUCAGUAAGAGCUUGCUCUUACGGGUGGCGAGUGGCGGACGGGUGAGGAAUACAUCGGAAUCUACUUUUUCGUGGGGGAUAACGUAGGGAAACUUACGCUAAUACCGCAUACGACCUACGGGUGAAAGCAGGGGAUCUUCGGACCUUGCGCGAUUGAAUGAGCCGAUGUCGGAUUAGCUAGUUGGCGGGGUAAAGGCCCACCAAGGCGACGAUCCGUAGCUGGUCUGAGAGGAUGAUCAGCCACACUGGAACUGAGACACGGUCCAGACUCCUACGGGAGGCAGCGGUGGGGAAUAUUGGACAAUGGGCGCAAGCCUGAUCCAGCCAUACCGCGUGGGUGAAGAAGGCCUUCGGGUUGUAAAGCCCUUUUGUUGGGAAAGAAAAGCAGCAGGUUAAUACCCCGCUGUUCUGACGGUACCCAAAGAAUAAGCACCGGCUAACUUCGUG